UCUGUCUUAGUGGCGGACGGGUGAGUAACGCGUGGGCAACCUGCCCUGUACCGGGGAUAACACUUAGAAAUAGGUGCUAAUACCGCAUAAUAGGGAAUACCGCAUGGUAAUCCUUUGAAAACUCCGGUGGUACAGGAUGGGCCCGCGUCUGAUUAGCCAGUUGGCGGGGUAACGGCCCACCAAAGCGACGAUCAGCAGCCGGCCUGAGAGGGUGGACGGCCACACUGGGACUGAGACACGGCCCAGACUCCUACGGGAGGCAGCAG
rnacentral:rRNA from 1 species